UUAGUUGUUUAGAUUGUAAAUAGCUUAGGUAAUCAUGGUUAGUCUUUCUAGGAGCUUUUAGGUUCUGUUUUAUGCUUUUNCUCAUUCCUUGCUGAUUUCACUCGUUUUUAGCUUCAUUUCCUUAGAUUAGAAUUGUCAAGAGUAGACUUAGCUUUAGAUUUAGGCAGAGGUAGUUCUAGCAUUGAAAGUUGCUUGAACUGUUUAUUGUGAGUUCCAAACAGUUUCAUUCGAAAUUGGAAUUCAAACCACCAAAAUCAAUGUGAAUUUCUUGAUGCAGUCACGGUUUUCCAGCACUGUUUGAUAGUCUUGUGNAGAUUUCAUUUCUUUUUAGAUUGGAAAAAGCUGGUUCUAUGAUUUAGAAUGAAAAUGAAUGAAUAAAAAAACAAAUAUCAAGUGUUAAAAAGCUUAGAGAACCAAUCAAUCCAGUUUACAAGUCCCCAAAGUUAAAAACACAAAAUCUGAAACUCUUUGGGACAUUUUAUCAAACAGUUUUGGAAAUUAUCAAACAGUUUGCAUUUGGCAUGAAUUCUGAACUGUGNUUGCGUUUUUAUUGCUUUCUUAAUCCACUCUAGUGCUAUUCUUAGGUUCAUUUAGAGUGCCUGUUGUUAUUGGUUGCUGUUCCAUUUGAAUUCAUCAAUUUUUUGGCCUCUAAACUGUUGUUCCAGCCACUUGGAGUGCAGAAUUCUUAUGCAGAUUUUUAAAUCUGUUUGUGAUGUUUCUGGUGAAUUUUUGGAGUAUGUGUGCAGUCUAAUUGAGCCAUCCAGAAGCAGAAAACCUCUCCUAUUAUGGUAGCCUUCUAGGAAGUGGUUAGGGGAUUGAAAGUGAAGCAAGAAGAAAGGCUUAACAGCAGCUAAAGAAUCACGUUCCAGCAGCUGUCAUCCAUGGCUGACGAGUCAUUGUGAUGAUGUGAAGAUACCUAUUGAUAAGAUGAUCCACAAGCUUCUUAAAGCUUAUAUAUGUUUAUCUUCCUUACGCAAAUAAGCAUUAGGGGUAUGUAAUAUUGCCUCGUCAUUUGUUAUAUCGUCAUUGUGAUGAUGUGAAGAUACCUAUUGAUAAGAUAAUCCACAAGCUUCUUAAAGCUUAUAUAUGUUUAUCUUCCUUACGCAAAUAAGCAUUAGGGGUAUGUAAUAUUGCCUCGUCAUUUGUUAUAUAUGCUAAUGUAGGCCAAUCUUAA